rfam:Schistosoma haematobium scaffold1198_9, whole genome shotgun sequence.
AUCCAGCUGACGAGUCCCAAAUAGGACGAAACGCGCGUCCUAUAU